rnacentral:rRNA from 1 species
GAUGAACGCUGGCGGCGUGCCUAAUACAUGCAAGUCGAGCGAACAGACGAGGAGCUUGCUCCUCUGACGUUAGCGGCGGACGGGUGAGUAACACGUGGAUAACCUACCUAUAAGACUGGGAUAACUUCGGGAAACCGGAGCUAAUACCGGAUAAUAUAUUGAACCGCAUGGUUCAAUAGUGAAAGACGGUUUUGCUGUCACUUAUAGAUGGAUCCGCGCCGCAUUAGCUAGUUGGUAAGGUAACGGCUUACCAAGGCAACGAUGCGUAGCCGACCUGAGAGGGUGAUCGGCCACACUGGAACUGAGACACGGUCCAGACUCCUACGGGAGGCAGCAGUAGGGAAUCUUGCGCAAUGGGCGAAAGCCUGACGGAGCAACGCCGCGUGAGUGAAGAAGGUCUUCGGGUCGUAAAACCCUUUUAUUAGGGAAGAACAAAUGUGGAAGUAACUAUGCACGUCUUGACGGUACCUAAUCAGAAAGCCACGGCUAACUACGUG